rnacentral:rRNA from 1 species
UAGGGAAUCUUCGGCAAUGGACGGAAGUCUGACCGAGCAACGCCGCGUGAGUGAAGAAGGNNUCGGAUCGUAAAGCUCUGUUGUAAGAGAAGAACGAGUGUGAGAGUGGAAAGUUCACACUGUGACGGUAUCUUACCAGAAAGGGACGGCUAACUACGUGCCAGCAGCCGCGGUAAUACGUAGGUCCCGAGCGUUGUCCGGAUUUAUUGGGCGUAAAGCGAGCGCAGGCGGUUAGAUAAGUUUGAAAUUAAAGGCUGUGGCUUAACCAUAGUACGCUUUGGAAACUGUUUAACUUGAGUGCAAGAGGGGAGAGUGGAAUUCCAUGUGUAGCGGUGAAAUGGCGUGAUAUAUGGAGGAACACCGGUGGCGAAAGCGGCUCUCUGGCUUGUAACUGACGCUGAGGCUCGAAAGGCGUGGGGAGCAAACAGGAUUAGAUACCCUGGUAGUCCACGCCGUAAACGAUGAGUGCUAGGUGUUAGACCCUUUCCGGGGUUUAGUGCCGCAGCUAACGCAUUAAGCACUCCGCCUGGGGAGUACGACCGCAAGGUUG